GACGAACGCUGGCGGCGUGCCUAAUACAUGCAAGUAGAACGCUGAAGGAGGAGCUUGCUCUUCUGGAUGAGUUGCGAACGGGUGAGUAACGCGUAGGUAACCUGCCUGGUAGCGGGGGAUAACUAUUGGAAACGAUAGCUAAUACCGCAUAACAGUAGAUAUCGCAUGAUAUCUACUUGAAAGGUGCAAUUGCACCACUACCAGAUGGACCUGCGUUGUAUUAGCUAGUUGGUGAGGUAACGGCUCACCAAGGCAACGAUACAUAGCCGACCUGAGAGGGUGAUCGGCCACACUGGGACUGAGACACGGCCCAGACUCCUACGGGAGGCAGCAGUAGGGAAUCUUCGGCAAUGGACGGAAGUCUGACCGAGCAACGCCGCGUGAGUGAAGAAGGUUUUCGGAUCGUAAAGCUCUGUUGUAAGAGAAGAACGAGUGUGAGAGUGGAAAGUUCACACUGUGACGGUAUCUUACCAGAAAGGGACGGCUAACUACGUGCCAGCAGCCGCGGUAAUACGUAGGUCCCGAGCGUUGUCCGGAUUUAUUGGGCGUAAAGCGAGCGCAGGCGGUUAGAUAAGUCUGAAGUUAAAGGCUGUGGCUUAACUAUAGUACGCUUUGGAAACUGUUUAACUUGAGUGCAAGAGGGGAGAGUGGAAUUCCAUGUGUAGCGGUGAAAUGCGUAGAUAUAUGGAGGAACACCGGUUGGCGAAAGCGGCUCUCUGGCUUGUUACUGACGCUGAGGCUCGAAAGCGUGGGGGAGCAAACAGG
rnacentral:rRNA from 1 species